rnacentral:tRNA from 1 species
GACCCUAUCGUCUAGCGGUUAGGACACUGCCCUUUCACGGCAGCGGCACGGGUUCGAUUCCCGUUAGGGUCG